UACAGAGGGGGCAAGCGUUGUUCGGAGUUACUGGGCGUAAAGAGUGCGUAGGCGGUGCUCCAAGUCUGUUGUGAAAUCUCCCGGCUUAACUGGGAGGGUGCGGUGGAAACUGGGGUGCUUGAGUAUGGGAGAGGUAAGCGGAAUUCCUGGUGUAGCGGUGAAAUGCGUAGAUAUCAGGAGGAACACCGGUGGUGUAGACGGCUUACUGGACCAUGACUGACGCUGAGGCACGAAAGCGUGGGUAGCAAACAGG
rnacentral:rRNA from 1 species